UACGUAGGUGGCAAGCGUUAUCCGGAAUUAUUGGGCGUAAAGAGCGCGCAGGUGGUUGAUUAAGUCUGAUGUGAAAGCCCGGGGCUCAACCGCGGGACUGCAUCGGAUACUGUGGAUCUGGAGUGCCGGAGGGGCAAGCGGAAUUCCUGGUGUAGCGGUGAAAUGCGUAGAUAUCAGGAGGAACACCGGCGGCGAAGGCGGCUUGCUGGACGGCAACUGACGUUGAGGCUCGAAAGCGUGGGGAGCAAACAGGAUUAGAUA
rnacentral:rRNA from 1 species